AUCAACUAGAUAGCCAACUGGCAAACGGUUUCAACUGCUAGACUACUCAUGAUCACGAUCUGGUCGAUCGGAACUAUAGAUAAAGAGUUAUCUCUAUGUAGACUCUGUAGUAGGUUAUGACAAUGUCUCAGGAAGUAAGAAUAUGAUGAAGUCAACAGCUCUGAUCAAGUCGACUGCGAUGAGUAUAACUUGAAAGAACGACAUUCAAAGUAUUGAUACUGGAUCAGAGUGAGGUUUUUUGAUGGGACGAGACCCAGACGUUAUGCUUUGUGGAGUAUGAAACUGCAGUGAUGCAUUGAUGGCUUAAUGGAUCGAGUUCUAUGAGGAUUACUAUUUGUCCAAGUGCUUAUCUGCGAGUACACCUCGGGAUAUACAGAUCCAACAUCAGCACAGCUUUGGUCAAGAAGCUCUCGCAACAAUGACAACAUUUCUGCCCGAAAAUCCAGUGGAAAGUCAGAGUCACGUACUGCAGAUACCAUUGAGUCUCCCAAAGCUGAAUAACCAAAAAGAAUAUGUUGGACCAUAACUUAUGAUGGAAUUGCAAAGAGUCUGCAACAACCUAUUUCAGUUUGCAGCGAAAAAGAGAGAAUACAGAAGACCACAGCAAGGAAGAUUUAGAUAAAGCUAGAAGAGGAAAGAGGUUGCACAAUAAACUUCAUCGUAGAAAAGCUGCAUUGGAAGAAUCAACGACCUAUACAGAGGAAGACAAGAAGGAAGUCCUGGAAGCGCUAGAACUGGAGCUAAUGAGCUCGAAAAAAGCCAGUCCAACAGUACUAGUGAUUGUGACUCUGUACAGCAAGGACCUUAAGAACAAGUGGAGAAAAGGAAGGGGGGAAAGCUAUGAUAACACGGCCAAUACCUCGGCGAUCUGAACAAGCCACAUCGAUAUUUACUUCCCUUGAUAGAAAAUACGGGCGCAGGCAGCCUGAGCAGGCGAAGAAGAUGACCCUUCUUAGGCAUGAAGACGCUCCAUCCAAGCGGCAAAGGCCAGACAUAAACAUGCCUGGUUGGGCAAUAACUGGUGAUCAUGAAUUUUAGCUCUCUAUAGAUAUAUAUCGCUGCAUAUGCAUGUGCAUGCGUCUAAAAUGACAUUAUAUUUCGACUAAAAACUGUUAAUUAAUCCAAUUUUUCUUUUCUUGUGUGAAAUGAACGCUGGUCCAUUACAAAAGCAAUUCAAUUCAAUUGACACGGUAAUAUAACUACGUCUCUAAAGAGACUAGAUUUAAUGCAGGACAUGCUUACAUUCUGAAUAUGAUGUAAA